UUAGUAACCCAACUCAAUCAAGAGCCGUUGCAAGUCGGCAUAAAUGGGGAGCACUAA
rnacentral:ribozyme from 2 species